CGCGGGGCGCGGUACUCACAGGUGGGUGUGAGGGGGGCGCGGGGCGCGGUACUCACAGGUGGGUGUGAGGGGGGCGCGGGGCGCGGUACUCACAGGUCGGUGUGAGGGGGACGCGGGGCGCGGUACUCACAGGUGGGUGUGAGGGGGGCGCGGGGCGCGGUACUCACAGGUGGGUGUGAGGGGGGCGCGGGGCGCGGUACUCACAGGUCGGUG